rnacentral:rRNA from 1 species
UACGUAGGUGGCAAGCGUUGUCCGGAUUUACUGGGUUUAAAGGGUGCGUAGGCGGGAUGCCAAGUCAGCGGUAAAAAUGCGGUGCUCAACGCCGUCGAGCCGUUGAAACUGGCGUUCUUGAGUGGGCGAGAAGUAUGCGGAGUGCGUGGUGUAGCGGUGAAAUGCAUAGAUAUCACGCAGAACUCCGAUUGCGAAGGCAGCAUACCGGCGCCCUACUGACGCUGAGGCACGAAAGCGUGGGUAUCGAACAGG